rfam:Loxodonta africana unplaced genomic scaffold scaffold_135, whole genome shotgun sequence.
GCUGUGAUGGCCGAGUGGUUAAGGCGUUGGACUUGAAAUCCAAUGGGGUUUUCCUGCGUAGGUUCGAAUCCUACUCACAGCG